rnacentral:rRNA from 1 species
GAGAUGUGUGAUGACGCAUAUCAAUAAGCGGAGGAAAAGGAAACUAACAAGGAUUCCCUUAGUAACGGCGAGUGAAGCGGGAAGAGCUCAAAUUUGAAAUCUUCAAGGUUCUACCUUGACGAAUUGUAGUUUAUAGAAGUGUUUUCUGUUAGUGGAGUGGCAAAAGUUCUUUGGAAUAGGACAUCAUAGAGGGUGAGAAUCCCGUAUUUGACCGUUACUUUCCAGCUGUGUGAUACACUUUCAAAGAGUCGGAUUGUUUGGGAAUGCAGUCCAAAAUGGGUGGUAAAUUUCAUCUAAAGCUAAAUAUUGGCGAGAGACCGAUAGCGAACAAGUACCGUGAGGGAAAGAUGAAAAGAACUUUGAAAAGAGAGUUAAACAGUACGUGAAAUUGUCAAAAGGGAAGCGUUUGACACCAGUGUUGUUUUUCCGAAAAUCAAUUACGAAUGUUUUAUUUUUGAGGAGUUAUGACUUCAUCGGCUUGCUCCUUUCUUUAUGAAACUUUCUUAAUGCACUUUUCGGUUAACAAGUCAACAUCAAUUUCUUUUGUUGUAGAAGGGUAUGAGGAAGGUGGCUUUCUUUUCGGAGAAAGUGUUUAUAGCCUUGUGCCUCUGCAAUCGGAGAGAUUGAGGUCUGCAGCGUAGAUCCUUCGGGGUUAGAUACGUUUGUGCUAAGUUAUAGCUUUUCAUAGACAACUUGUUGACUAUGUUUAGUCUUGUAGCUUACUCGCUUACGCUAUUUUACCUACGCUUAGGAUGUUGACGAUCAGCUGAGCGCG